rnacentral:lncRNA from 1 species
CGAGACCCGCGUGGCAGCAGCGGUGCCCAGCGUGGGGAGCGGAGGGAGCGCGCAGGCUCCUCGGGGCGGUCCUCGAGCCUGACUGGAGCCCGGGUCCUGGCCCAAACUCAGCCGGCCCUGAGGGGUUGAGGGACCGGGACCGCGGAGCGCGACCGCCCCGGGCGCCUCCUCCCCGGCCGGCACCGCGAGGCGCUCUCCGCGCCAGUUCUGCCCCGGGCCCCGCCGCGCUCUCCCGACCCGCCCUCCGCUUCCCAGGACCUUGCUGAGCCCGGCGCACUGCGCGGGAGGGCGCGACAGUGCUGCCCCAGCUGUGCCCGGGACAUCGCCUGCGCCCCGAGCCCCGGUCGCCGGGGUGGUGCGCCCGCGCUCGGUGCCACGUCGGAACUGCCCGGAGCGCGCGGUGAUGGCGCGGGACCCUCCUCCCGGGUCCCGGCGAGCGGAGGAGGGCGGAGCGGGCCCGGGCCGCUGAGCCCCUGGGUCCCCGCCGCGAGGCGCCGGGCUGCUCAGCAUCCUCCCCUCCGCGGGAGCCGGGCAGGGGCACACGCGUCGCCCUCCAGUGGGGGCUCCUGGCCGGCGAGCAGCCCCGAGGACGCUGCGCGGGAGGCCCGUCCGGGAGCGCACACGAGGGCACCCAGCGCUACGGCGGUCGGAGGGGCCGCCCGGCCUCCGGUCUAUGGGAAAGCUCCACUGCGGUGCACCCGGCUUGGUGCGGAGCCUGCGCCGACAGCGUGUGAGGCGCUCGGGCUUCCGCGCGUAACCCCCGGGCGCGGCGGAGCCUACCUUGCUCAGCUGUGCAUGCAGCCGUCCUCAGCUGCCUGCGCGGCCCGGCGGGGCGGGAGCAGUGUCCAGGGCCGAGGUGAUGGAGCUCAGAUGGACUUGAGACGGUCGGCCAGAAAGCAGAGGAAAUUUACAAACAACAUUUAAAAAGACGGAACUCCUCAACGCACACUCGCACACUUUCCUUCGCCAAGGAGCGGCCGCGGCCUCCGCCUCUUGGGGGCCAGCAGGAAGGCAGCGGUCUGGCUAGUCCCGCGAGCCCAGGGGUCUCCCCCGCUGCACUCCUCCCACGCCCGGACGGACCUGGCCUGUCCCCGCCGUGCCCGUGGGCCUCCCCGCCUCUGUGACGCACCGUGGACAGCAGGUGGCAGUGUUUGGAAGGAGAUGCGAACGGGAGAGCCCGC